CUCGCAGAAGAAGCACCGGCUAACUCCGUGCCAGCAGCCGCGGUAAUACGGAGGGUGCGAGCGUUAAUCGGAAUUACUGGGCGUAAAGCGUACGCAGGCGGUUAUUUAAGUCAGAUGUGAAAUCCCCGGGCUCAACCUGGGAACUGCAUUUGAAACUGGAUAACUAGAGUGCGACAGAGGGUGGUAGAAUUUCAGGUGUAGCGGUGAAAUGCGUAGAGAUCUGAAGGAAUACCAAUGGCGAAGGCAGCCACCUGGGUCGACACUGACGCUCAUGUACGAAAGCGUGGGUAGCAAACAGGAUUAGAUACCCUGGUAGUCCACGCCGUAAACGAUGUCUACUAGCAGUUUGCCUCUUAAGAGGU
rnacentral:rRNA from 1 species